rnacentral:rRNA from 1 species
AGAACGAACGCUGGCGGCAGGCCUCAAACAUGCAAGUCUAGGGGGUGUAGCAAUACAUCACCGGCGGACGGGUGCGUAACACGUGGGAAUAUACCUUUUGGUUCGGAACAACGCAGGGAAACUUGCGCUAAUACCGAAUGUGCCCUUACGGGGAAAGAUUUAUCGCCAAAGGAUUAGCCCGCGUAGGAUUAGCUAGUUGGUGAGGUAAUGGCUCACCAAGGCUCCGAUCCUUAGCUGUUCUGAGAGGAAGAUCAGCCACACUGGGACUGAGACACGGCCCAGACUCCUACGGGAGGCAGCAGUUGGGAAUCUUGGACAAUGGGGGAAACCCUGAUCCAGCCAUGCCGCGUGAGUGAUGAAGGCCUUCGGGUUGUAAACUCUUUCGACGGGGACAGUAAUGACGGUACCCGUAGAAGAAGCUCCGGCUAACUUCGUGCCAGCAGCCGC